GCAGGCGGCCUCCGGAGCAGCCCAAGCCCAUGAGGGCCGCGCGCCCGGCCGCCGGUGCUGACGAGACGGAGCUCCUGGCCCCCGAGGAGGAGCAGAGGAUCAAUGCGGUUCAAGAAUCGAUUCCAGCGUCCCAAAGGGUAAAAGAGGCAACAAAUGCACAGAAGAGUUGCCAUGGUCUGGGCCACCAGGAAGGGGAUCAGCUUGAAGACUUGGAUUGACUUCUGAAUAUAUUGCUUAUCAGUCAGGGUGUUGAAUGCCUGGCACUGUUCCCCCAGUGGAACUUCAUACCGGUGUGUCUAAGGGCAAAAUGGAACCGUAGUGUUCUGACUUUAGAACCUGAUGUCAGAAAUGAAGACCGGAGGGGCUUUUAGAGAGAAUGUAACAUGCACUCCAGUCAUGAUCAGUGAAGCCCUGUGCAUGCGGUUUGAUUUGGUUUUACUUCUCUACACGUCUGUGCUCUUCCUGUUUUCAGAGAACAGUGGCAAUAUUCUGUGAAAUUGCCCCUUCCUUGUUUGAUUAAGAGUUUGUCAUUCUUACCUAUACCUUUGGAUUCUCUAAAAAGAAAA
rnacentral:sRNA from 1 species